UGGGGAAUUUUGGACAAUGGGCGCAAGCCUGAUCCAGCCAUGCCGCGUGCGGGAAGAAGGCCUUCGGGUUGUAAACCGCUUUUGUCAGGGAAGAAAUCUUCUGAGUUAAUACCUCGGGAGGAUGACGGUACCUGAAGAAUAAGCACCGGCUAACUACGUGCCAGCAGCCGCGGUAAUACGUAGGGUGCAAGCGUUAAUCGGAAUUACUGGGCGUAAAGCGUGCGCAGGCGGUUUUGUAAGACAGAGGUGAAAUCCCCGGGCUCAACCUGGGAACUGCCUUUGUGACUGCAAGGCUUGAGUGCGGCAGAGGGGGAUGGAAUUCCGCGUGUAGCAGUGAAAUGCGUAGAUAUGCGGAGGAACACCGAUGGCGAAGGCAAUCCCCUGGGCCUGCACUGACGCUCAUGCACGAAAGCGUGGGGAGCAAACAGGAUUAGAUACCCUGGUAGUCCACGCCCUAAACGAUGUCAACUGGUUGUUGGGAAGGUUCCUUCUCAGUAACGUAGCUAACGCGUGAAGUUGACCGCCUGGGGAGUACGGCCGCAAGGUUGAAACUAAAGGAAUUGACGGGGUCAUAGCUGUUUCCUG
rnacentral:rRNA from 1 species